GCCAGACUCCUACGGGAGGCAGCAGUGGGGGAUAUUGCACAAUGGGGGGAACCCUGAUGCAGCGACGCCGCGUGGGUGAAGGAGCGUUUCGGCGCGUAAAGCCCUAUCGGCAGGGAAGAAGGAGGACGGUACCUGACUAAGAAGCCCCGGCUAACUACGUGCCAGCAGCCGCGGUAAUACGUGGGGGGCAAGCGUUAUCCGGAUUUACUGGGUGUAAAGGGGGCGCAGACGGCAGCGCAAGCCAGGAGUGAAAGCCCGGGGCCCAACCCCGGGACUGCUCUUGGAACUGCGCGGCUGGAGUGCAGGAGGGGCAGGCGGAAUUCCUGGUGUAGCGGUGAAAUGCGUAGAUAUCAGGAGGAACACCGGUGGCGAAGGCGGCCUGCUGGACUGCGACUGACGUUGAGGCCCGAAAGCGUGGGGAGCAAACAGGAUUAGAUACCCGUAUG
rnacentral:rRNA from 1 species